GUCUCGCUCUGUCACCCAGGCUGGAAUGCAUUGGCACGAUCUCGGCUCACUGCAACCUCCACCUCCCGGGUUCAAGCGAUUCUCCUGCCUCAGCCUCCUGAGUAGCUGGGAUUACAGGUGUUUCACCAUGUUGGCCAGGCUGGUCUCGAACUCCUGGCCUCAGGUGAUCUGCCCACCUCAGCCUUCCAAAGCGCUGGGAUUCCAGGCGUGAGCCACCAUGCCCGGCCUGAUUUGUAACUAUUCUACCUGCACUUAGCAUCAGCAGCAGGUGCUCCAGGCCGUAGAACGCGCCAAGCAGGUCACCGUGGGGGAGCUGAACAGCCUCAUCGGGCAGCAGCUCCAGCCGCUGUCCCACCACGCACCCCCUGUGCCCCUCACCCCCCGCCCAGCCGGGCUGGUGGGCGGCAGUGCUACGGGGCUGCUUGCUCUGUCUGGAGCCCUGGCUGCCCAGGCUCAGCUGGCGGCGGCUGUCAAGGAGGACCGUGCGGGCGUGGAGGCCGAGGGGUCCAGAGUGGAGAGAGCCCCGAGCAGGAGUGCAUCUCCCUCGCCCCCUGAGAGUCUCGUGGAGGAGGAGCGAC
rnacentral:lncRNA from 10 species